ACUGCUUGUCGAAGUCCUUUUUGCCCCAGCUGGUAGGUCUCCAGACGUUACAGAGAACCCCGUACAACCCAAACUGUUAACCUUCAAUACUGCUUUGUACUUACGAUCUUGUAUCCACUGACUCUCUUGUUAGAUUAACCCAAUAAAUUUCAUUCACUCCGCAUACUCAAUCCUAUAGACACCCUUUUAAUCCUUCAAUCACAGACGUAACUCGAUUUCACAAAACAGUCAAGAGUAUUCAAACCCACUUCAUUUAAAAAUCCCGAUUCACCAUUACAACACUGACUUCAGCAGCGAUUGCCUCAGUCUUCCCCAAAACUCUA
rnacentral:lncRNA from 1 species